GCGGAGGAAAAGAAAAUAACAAUGAUUUCCCUAGUAACGGCGAGUGAAGAGGAAAGAGCUCAAAGUUGGAACCUGUUUGGCUUAGCUAAACCGGAUUGUAAACUGUAGAAGUGUUUUCCAGACACGCCUGGUAAAAAAGUCCUUUGGAACAGGGCAUCAUAGAGGGUGAGAAUCCCGUCAUUGGCCAGAGCUGUUGUCUUUUGUGAUACAUUUUCAAAGAGUCAGGUUGUUUGGGAAUGCAGCCUAAAUUGGGUGGUAAAUCUCACCUAAAGCUAAAUAUUUGCGAGAGACCGAUAGCGAACAAGUACCGUGAGGGAAAGAUGAAAAGAACUUUGAAAAGAGAGUUAAACAGUAUGUGAAAUUGUUAAAAGGGAACCGUUUGGAGCCAGACUGGCUUAACUGUAAUCAAUCUAGGCUUCGGCCUGGAUGCACUUGCGGUUUAUGCCGGCCAACGACAGUUUAGUUUGAGGGAAAAAAUUACAUUGAAUGUGGCCCUUCGGGGCGUUAUAGCUUUGUAAAAAAUACCUUGGACUGGACUGAGGAACGCAGUGAAUGCCUUUAGGCAAGAUUGCUGGGUGCUUUCGCUAAUAAAUGCUAGAAUUUCUGCUUCGGGUGGUGCUAGUGUUUAAAGGAGGAACUCGCCUAGUAUAUUUUUUAUUCGCUUAGGUUGUUGGCUUAAUGACUCUAAAUGAC
rnacentral:rRNA from 1 species